AACGAACGCUGGCGGCAGGCCUAACACAUGCAAGUCGAGCGAGGACUUCGGUUCUAGCGGCGGACGGGUGAGUAACGCGUGGGAAUGUGCCCUUCUCUACGGAAUAGCCCUGGGAAACUGGGAGUAAUACCGUAUACGCCCUAUUGGGGAAAGAUUUAUCGGAGAAGGAUCAGCCCGCGUUGGAUUAGGUAGUUGGUGGGGUAAUGGCCUACCAAGCCGACGAUCCAUAGCUGGUUUGAGAGGAUGAUCAGCCACACUGGGACUGAGACACGGCCCAGACUCCUACGGGAGGCAGCAGAGGGGAAUGUUAGACAAUGGGGGCAACACUGAUCUAGCCAUGCCGCGUGAGUGAUGAAGGCAUUAGGGUUGUAAAGCUCCUUCAGCUGGGAAGAUAAUGACGGUACCAGCAGAAGAAGCCCCGGCUAACUACGUG
rnacentral:rRNA from 1 species